rnacentral:rRNA from 1 species
CAGUCGCCGCGGGAAUACGAAGGGUGCAAGCGUUACUCGGAAUUACUGGGCGUAAAGCGUGCGUAGGUGGUGGUUUAAGUCCGUUGUGAAAGCCCUGGGCUCAACCUGGGAAUUGCAGUGGAUACUGGGUCACUAGAGUGUGGUAGAGGAUAGUGGAAUUUCCGGUGUAGCAGUGAAAUGCGUAGAGAUCGGAAGGAACAUCUGUGGCGAAGGCGACUAUCUGGGCCAACACUGACACUGAGGCACGAAAGCGUGGGGAGCAAACAGGAUUAGAUACCCCAGUAGUCCCUGUCUCUUAUGC